CAGUAGCCACGGUAAUACGUAGGUGGCAAGCGUUGUCCGGAAUUAUUGGGCGUAAAGGGCUCGCAGGCGGUUUCUUAAGUCUGAUGUGAAAGCCCCCGGCUCAACCGGGGAGGGUCAUUGGAAACUGGGAAACUUGAGUGCAGGAGAGGAGAGUGGAAUUCCACGUGUAGCGGUGAAAUGCGUAGAGAUGUGGAGGAACACCAGUGGCGAAGGCGACUCUCUGGUCUGUAACUGACGCUGAGGAGCGAAAGCGUGGGGAGCGAACAGGAUUAGAUACCCCUGUAGUCCCUGUCUCUUAUAC
rnacentral:rRNA from 1 species